rnacentral:lncRNA from 1 species
GUGCAGGAAUACCAAACGCAUCACCUCGAGUACUUCGUUCCACUUCUUCAACUACCUACUUGUAACAAAAUCAAUCUAUGUAUUAAAUUCGUGAAUUACCAACAUAAUUGGUCUGUCCCUGUCACCUUUAAUUAAUUCCCCUGUUUUCACUCUUCUGAAAUAUGCCCAAUGAUUCUCUGCUAAGCAAUUUAGUAGUACUUAAGUAGAUAGAAAUUAUAGUUCUCUGUUUGUUCUUAUAUUUUGUUAUUUGAAUCUUUUUGCCAUGUAGUACUUUACAAGUAUUAACAGCCUCUCUGCCUUCUUGAAGGUAGGGGUAAGGCUUGAGUACAUACUAGCCCCUCGCACCCCACUUUUGGUACUUUACAAGUAUUGUUAACGUGUACCUUAGUGUUCUUGGUAUAAACUAGUAGAAUAUAUUCUUUUUUUCAAUCUUCAUAGGGAAUCCAUGAUUGUGAUAAAUAAAAAAAAAUACCUAAAGUUUCUUGUUUCUUUCCAUUACUGUGAAACACCAAACUAAAUCUUCAUAUAUUAGUUUAUCUCAAAUCUGAUAAGGAUCAAUAUAUAUACCCAUUUAAGUAACAAAAUACAACUACACUGUUUUCGUUUUACUUUUUUUUUAUUAUUAUUAUUAUUAUUAUUAUUAUUAUUAUUAUUAUUAUUAUUAUUAUUAUUAUUAUUAUUAUUAUUUUUGUUUACACAUGAUUCUUUUCUACUCUAAGCGAUGAGCCAAAACCAGAAAAAGACAUAAAUGUUUCAUAAUAUUUAUCAUAACUAUUUAAUCUUUAAUUUUAUUUUUGACUUAAUAAGAGCAUAGACAAAAGAAGCAACUCAAACAAAAUUGUAGAAAGGAAGUGAACCUUUUAACCAGAGAAGAGGCUGUGCUAUAAGGAUUAUGAACAGGCAUCAAGAAUUAAACCUCCUCCUCCUCCUCCUUCUUCUCCUCUCUUCUUCUUCUUCUUCUUCUUCUUCUUCUUCUUUGUUCUUGUAAAGUUUUUUUCUUUAUUAGGAUUUCACCAAAUCCCCUUUUCUCUAUUUUCUGUUGCGUGGCCCUUCCCCUUUGUCUCGAUUCUUCUUUUUCCUUUUUACCAGAUUCUCA